rnacentral:rRNA from 1 species
AACGUAGGACACGAGCGUUAUCCGGAGUUACUGGGCGUAAAGGGCGAGUAGGUGGUGCGAUAAGACUGGUGUGAAAGCCUUCGGCUUAACCGAGGGAGGACACUGGUGACUGUCGGACUUGAGGCAGAUAGAGGGGUGUAGAAUUCCGGGUGUAGUGGUGAAAUGCGUAGAGAUCCGGAGGAAUACCAGAGGCGAAGGCGGCACCCUGGGUCUGACCUGACACUGAUCCGCGACAGCAUGGGGAGCGAAC